AUACGUAGGGGGCAAGCGUUGUCCGGAAUUAUUGGGCGUAAAGCGCGCGCAGGCGGUCUCUUAAGUCUGAUGUGAAAGCCCACGGCUCAACCGUGGAGGGUCAUUGGAAACUGGGAGACUUGAGUGUAGGAGAGGAAAGCGGAAUUCCACGUGUAGCGGUGAAAUGCGUAGAGAUGUGGAGGAACACCAGUGGCGAAGGCGGCUUUCUGGCCUAUAACUGACGCUGAGGCGCGAAAGCGUGGGGAGCAAACAGGAUUAGAUACCCUGGUAGUCCACGCCGUAAACGAUGAGUGCUAGGUGUUAGGGGUUUCGAUACCCUUAGUGCCGACGUUAACACAAUAAGCACUCCGCCUGGGGAGUACGGCCGCAAGGCUGAA
rnacentral:rRNA from 1 species